rnacentral:rRNA from 1 species
GACGAACGCUGGCGGCGUGCCUAAUACAUGCAAGUAGAACGCUGAAGAGAGGAGCUUGCUCUUCUUGGAUGAGUUGCGAACGGGUGAGUAACGCGUAGGUAACCUGCCUGGUAGCGGGGGAUAACUAUUGGAAACGAUAGCUAAUACCGCAUAACAACAGUUGUUGCAUGACAGCUGUUUAAAAGAUGCAAUUGCAUCACUACCAGAUGGACCUGCGUUGUAUUAGCUAGUUGGUGAGGUAACGGCUCACCAAGGCGACGAUACAUAGCCGACCUGAGAGGGUGAUCGGCCAUACUGGGACUGAGACACGGCCCAGACUCCUACGGGAGGCAGCAGUAGGGAAUCUUCGGCAAUGGGGGGAACCCUGACCGAGCAACGCCGCGUGAGUGAAGAAGGUUGUCGGAUCGUAAAGCUCUGUUGUAAGAGAAGAACGGGUGUGAGAGUGGAAAGUUCACACUGUGACGGUAUCUUACCAGAAAGGGACGGCUAACUACGUG